rnacentral:rRNA from 1 species
AACGAACGCUGGCGGCAGGCCUAACACAUGCAAGUCGAGCGGACCCUUCGGGGUUAGCGGCGGACGGGUGAGUAGCGCGUGGGAAUAUGCCCUUCUCUACGGAAUAGUCCUGGGAAACUGGGGGUAAUACCGUAUACGCCCUUUGGGGGAAAGAUUUAUCGGGGAAGGAUUAGCCCGCGUUGGAUUAGGUAGUUGGUGGGGUAAUGGCCUACCAAGCCGACGAUCCAUAGCUGGUUUGAGAGGAUGAUCAGCCACACUGGGACUGAGACACGGCCCAGACUCCUACGGGAGGCAGCAGUGGGGAAUCUUAGACAAUGGGGGCAACCCUGAUCUAGCCAUGCCGCGUGAGUGAUGAAGGCCUUAGGGUUGUAAAGCUCUUUCAGCUGGGAAGAUAAUGACGGUACCAGCAGAAGAAGCCCCGGCUAACUCCGUG